GAUACACAACAUUGUUUCAGUAUUUUGUUGGCUCAGUGAGAUAGACAGAAGUUGCUCUUGGCUUGAUACAUGAAUACUACAAAAGUAAUGCUACGGGUCUUGGUGUUUUCUUUAGUCUUUACUAUGCUUUCGACACAUCAAGCUUUGGGAAAUAAGGAAAAUUGUGACAAGGAUAAAGAUUUCAUUAAGCGCCAAUGCGAAAGGUGCAUUGGAGUUGGCCGUAAAUUCCCUACGACCAAACUAUGUUGCAAUGCUAUAAAAAGAGCUGAUAUGGCUUGCGUUUGUCGUAGCAUAACACUAGAAGAGCAGCUCACAAUAAGCGUCAUGAAGGUUGUGGAUGUUGCAAAGGAAUGUGGCAACCCGGUGCCACCUGGGAAUAAAUGUGGAACUUGGACUGUUCCACCACAACUGCUAGCAAGGGUGCAUCCGUAAGGGUUCAACAAAGCGAGCAACAAAGGGCACAUGGAUAAGAGUUCAAUAAUGGAAGCAAUCACAGGAAAAUCUUGAGAUAAAUGAAUGAAUGUAUGCUCAACUGGCUUUUGGAAAAUUAGAUCAAUAUAAUAUGAGGUGUGAUUUAUUUAUAUGGCCAUAAAUCUACUCUUAAUAAACUCCAUAUGCCCAUGGCUCUAAACGGAUCCGAAUGCUUACUAUGGUGGGGAGAAACAAAUCAGUGAAGUUUCAUUAGCUUUAUCAUCUUCUAGUUUAUUUUUAUAUAACAGUGGGAACUGAACAA